AAAUUUUCACAUAAAUUAUUAAUUAAAAAAUACUAAAUUAAAUAAAAAAUAGCUACAAAAAAUAAAAACGCAAUUUUAACGACGUUAAUGUUUCCACCUAAACUCUAAACCCUAAAUCUUAAAUUCUAAACAUUAUACCCUAAAUUCUAAACCCAAAUCCAAACCUCUAAACCCAAAUCCAAACCCCUAAAUCCAAAACCUAUACCAUAAACCUAAAUUAUAUACCCUAAACCUAAAAACUAG
rnacentral:lncRNA from 1 species